AUUGAACGCUGGCGGCAUGCUUUACACAUGCAAGUCGAACGGUAACAGGCCGCAAGGUGCUGACGAGUGGCGAACGGGUGAGUAAUGCAUCGGAACGUGCCCAGUCGUGGGGGAUAACUACUCGAAAGAGUAGCUAAUAACGCAUACGAACUAUGGAUGAAAGCAGGGGACCGUAAGGCCUCGCGCGAUUGGAGCGGCCGAUGUCAGAUUAGGUAGUUGGUGGGGUAAAGGCCCACCAAGCCAACGAUCUGUAGCUGGUCUGAGAGGACGACCAGCCACACUGGGACUGAGACACGGCCCAGACUCCUACGGGAGGCAGCAGUGGGGAAUUUUGGACAAAGGGCGCAAGCCUGAUCCAGCAAUGCCGCGUGCAGGAAGAAGGCCUUCGGGUUGUAAACUGCUUUUGUCCGGAACGAAACGGCUCUGGUUAAUACCCGGGGCUAAUGACGGUACCGUAAGAAUAAGCACCGGCUAACUACGUG
rnacentral:rRNA from 1 species